rnacentral:lncRNA from 7 species
CAGCCCAGUAAACCCACCAAUCCGAGCAACCUCUCGCAACGGAGACACUGCUCGCUGCUUGCUUUCUCCUCUCGCGCGCCUGCCGCCUAGCCCUACUACAGUCAGCCGCCGCAAGCCCGCAACCGGAACCGCCACCUCCUAGCACUAGCCACGCGACCGGCGCUGGCGCGCCCUCGCUGCCGGCUGCGUCCCGCCACCGCCGCCGGACGGUCCCUGGCGGCCUCGCCCUCGACGAUCGGGCCUCGCCUGCUCGACCACGCGUGACGCCGCCGCCGCGGAUCACCACCCACCGUCCGCCGGGCUCGCGCCCCGCCUUCCAGAAGUCCGAGCGCCGCCUCUCGCCCGUGUCCAACUCCAAAGUCUGAAGUUCGAUCCACAUCCACUGACCCGCAGAGGCGCAGACUACCGGUAGUUUCGUUGCUUUAAACUUUCAACAAUUUAAAUGCGACGAACUGAUGAUUUUGUAAUUGUCUAAUUGAUAGAUCGAUUAAUACAUCAAUCAGGAAUAUCAUUAUAAAAACAGAUGAAAUGUUGUUAUGUUGAAAAGAAAUGCUCUUCUAUCACUGCUGUUUGAUCUUUUUUUUUUGCUUCGUUAUGUUCAAUCUCUCUGUACAUUUAUAUUAUACCAUCACAACAUUUACGUAGUUUCACUGUAGACUUAACAGAAUACUGAUUCUUGAUUGA